CAGUAACACGUGGAUAACCUACCCUUAGGACCGGAAUAACCCCGGGAAACUGGGGAUAAUACCGGAUAAAUCAUAGAUGCUGGAAUGCCCUAUGGUUCAAAGCUCCGGCGCCUAAGGAUGGAUCUGCGGUCUAUCAGGGUUGUAGUGGGUGUAACGUACCUACUAGCCGACGACGGAUACGGGUUGUGAGAGCAAGAGCCCGGAGAUGGAUUCUGAGACACGAAUCCAGGCCCUACGGGGUGCAGCAGGCGCGAACACUUUACAAUGCGGGAAACCGCGAUAAGGGAACCCCGAGUGCCAGCAUCAAAUGUUGGCUGUCCAGAUGAUUAAAAAUCAUUUGUUAGCAAGGGCCGGGCAAGACCGGUGCCAGCCGCCGCGGUAACACCGGCGGCCCGAGUGGUAGCCGUUUUUAUUGGGUCUAAAGGGUCCGUAGCCGGCUUGAUAAGUCUUUUGGGAAAUCUGGCAGCUUAACUGUCAGGCUUCUAAGGGAUACUGUCAGGCUUGGGACCGGAAGAGGUAAGGGGUACUCCAGGGGUAGGAGUGAAAGUCUUGUAC
rnacentral:rRNA from 1 species